CUCGGGUGGCCUUUGGGCCCCAGGAGAGUGUAGGGUGGGGAAGGGGCUGCUGUGAUAUCACCGGACGCCACCUUUCCUGGAGGCCACUCUGAGCUUUCCCACCCAAUGCUGUCCACUGUCCGGUGUAGCUUUGAUGGCUCUCCCAGACCCCCUCCUUCCAGCCAUUUAGGUCCAUCAGGUGCACUUCAUGAAGAGCUGCGGGUAAGAGCCCAGGCUUUGGCGUCGACCACAUCAGAACUGGGGUCCCAGUUUCUUACUCUCUGUGCCGCCCACCUUCCCAAGUCUAGUUGGGGUGAUCUCUGUGUCCACAGCCCAAGGUGGUUUUGAAGGGAAUGGCUUCACCAUGGUCAUGGUGAGAAGCAUCUGGCCAAUGACAAAUGCCCAAUCCCAGUCCAAGUUUUGUCCUGCCCAAGUUCCAGCCAGUGCUAAGUGAGAGCCUCAGGGAAGGAUAUUGAAGCUCAUCAAUUUUGGGCCAACUCAGUGAAGAAAAAUUUAAACAACCUUCUUGGAUUCACUGCACGUUACUUUUUGGACUUGUUUAUUUCCUGCUCUUCUGUUCUUUUUGGAGUACACCCACAUUGAUGCCAAAAAUACCUGAGUGACUCAGUGAACAACCUGAUGUCCUGUCCCUGGGAUGCCAUGUAUCUGAGAGCAAUCUGGGCCUUACUUAUUGUCUACAUAGUUCACAUUCUGCUGCUAUGAUGUGAGUGCCCAGAAAUGAGAUCAGCCGAGCCGGCAGCAGUGAGACCUCAGUGCAGAGAGAGGCUGGGUGGCUGGUGAGUUCUGGGAUAGCAGUUCCCCUCAGUGCAUUUUCACCUACCUGGUGAGUGUCCAUGGCUUGCAAAAAAUCUUCCUCCAUCCAGCAGUCUGUGCUGAGGUACAGCUCUGGGCCAGGCUCUUGAGCUGUGGAAACAAAGCAAAGCGGAUUGGUCUUUGUCUCUGCCUUGGUAGGAAACAGC
rnacentral:lncRNA from 1 species